UACGUAGGGUGCAAGCGUUAAUCGGAAUUACUGGGCGUAAAGCGUGCGCAGGCGGUUGUGCAAGACAGAUGUGAAAUCCCCGGGCUCAACCUGGGAAUUGCAUUUGUGACUGCACGGCUAGAGUGUGUCAGAGGGGGGUAGAAUUCCACGUGUAGCAGUGAAAUGCGUAGAGAUGUGGAGGAACACCGAUGGCGAAGGCAGCCCCCUGGGUCAAGAUUGACGCUCAUGCACGAAAGCGUGGGGAGCAAACAGGG
rnacentral:rRNA from 1 species